rnacentral:lncRNA from 1 species
AAUUUUUUCCGCUUGAUUACAAAAUGCCAAUUAUUCGUGAAUAAAGCACUGAAGCGUCAUGCAUAAUAAAAAAGGCUUGUAAGAAAAUACAUAUUUUACUUCGAUUUAGAAAAUGUCAAAGGGAUCAUAUUCUUCCAGCAUUGCUUCUAAAAAAAACAUGGGGUUCAUAAACUAACAGUCACACUAGCACAAAAGUUUCUCUCUUUU